CCCUUAGAUGUCCUGGGCCGCACGCGCGUUACACUGAUGCAUUCAACGAGCUUAUAACCUUGGCCGAGAGGCCUGGGCAAUCUUGUUAACGUGCAUCGUGAUAGGGAUAGAUUAUUGAAAUUAUUAAUCUUGAACGAGGAAUUCCUAGUAAACGCAGAUCAUCAGUCUGCAUUGAUUACGUCCCUGCCCUUUGUACACACCGCCCGUCGCACCUACCGAUUGGAUGGUCCGGUGAAGCCUCGGGAUUGUGGUUCCUGCCGCUUUAUUGUGGCGUGACCGCGAGAACUUGUCUAAACCUUAUCAUCUAGAGGAAGGUGAAGUCGUAACA
rnacentral:rRNA from 1 species